rnacentral:rRNA from 1 species
AGAGUUUGAUCAUGGCUCAGAAUUAACGCUGGCGGCAUGCCUAACACAUGCAAGUCGCACGAGAAAGCCCCUUUCGGGGGGCAAGUACAGUGGCGCACGGGUGAGUAACGCGUGGAUAAUCUACCUCUAUCUGGGGGAUAACCCACCGAAAGGUGGGCUAAUACCGCAUAUUCCGGCGGGUCUUCGGGUCUGUCGGUAAAGGUGGCCUCUUCCUGAAAGCUACCGGGUGGAGAUGAGUCCGCGUCCCAUUAGCUAGUUGGUAGGGUAAAAGCCUACCAAGGCGACGAUGGGUAGCUGGUCUGAGAGGACGAUCAGCCACACUGGAACUGGAACACGGUCCAGACUCCUACGGGAGGCAGCAGUGAGGAAUAUUGCGCAAUGGGGGAAACCCUGACGCAGCGAUGCCGCGUGGGUGAAGAAGGCCUUCGGGUCGUAAAGCCCUGUCAAGCGGGAAGAAUAGCGGCGGGACGAAUAAUCCCGUCGUCUGACGGUACCGCUGAAGGAAGCACCGGCUAACUCCGUGCCAGCAGCCGCGGUAAGACGGAGGGUGCAAGCGUUAUUCGGAUUUAUUGGGCGUAAAGAGCGUGUAGGCGGCCGGCCAAGUCAGAUGUGAAAGCCCAGGGCUUAACCCUGGAAGUGCAUUUGAAACUGGUUGGCUUGAGUUCGGGAGAGGGAAGUGGAAUUCCGGGUGUAGAGGUGAAAUUCGUAGAUAUCCGGAGGAACACCGGUGGCGAAGGCGACUUCCUGGACCGAAACUGACGCUGAGACGCGAAAGCGUGGGGAGCAAACAGGAUUAGAUACCCUAGUAGUCC